CACGUAGGGUGCAAGCGUUGUCCGGAAUCAUUGGGCGUAAAGAGCUCGUAGGCGGCUUAGUAAGUCGGGUGUGAAAACCCCAGGCUCAACCUGGGGACGCCACCCGAUACUGCUAUAGCUAGAGUCCAGUAGGGGAGUGUGGAAUUCCCAGUGUAGCGGUGAAAUGCGCAGAUAUUGGGAGGAACACCAGCGGCGAAGGCGGCACUCUGGGCUGAUACUGACGCUGAGGAGCGAAAGCGUGGGUAGCGAACAGG
rnacentral:misc_RNA from 1 species